UACGUAGGGGGCAAGCGUUGUCCGGAUUUAUUGGGCGUAAAGAGCGUGUAGGCGGCCAGACAGGUCCGUUGUGAAAACUCGAGGCUCAACCUCGAGACGUCGAUGGAAACCGUCUGGCUAGAGUCCGGAAGAGGAGAGUGGAAUUCCUGGUGUAGCGGUGAAAUGCGCAGAUAUCAGGAAGAACACCCGUGGCGAAGGCGGCUCUCUGGGACGGUACUGACGCUGAGACGCGAAAGCGUGGGGAGCGAAC
rnacentral:rRNA from 1 species